CCCUUAGAUGUUCUGGGCCGCACGCGCGCUACACUGUUCGACGCAGCGAGUCUUAACCUUGACCGAAAGGUUUGGGUAAUCUUCCGCAAAGUCGAACGUGAUGGGGAUCGAUCAUUGCAAUUAUUGAUCGUGAACGAGGAAUUCCUAGUAAGUGCAAGUCAUCAGCUUGCGCUGAUUACGUCCCUGCCCUUUGUACACACCGCCCGUCGCUACUACCGAUUGAAUGGUUUAGUGAGAUCUCUGGAUUGACGCUGGCUAGGGGGCGACCCUUGGCCAGGCUGUCGAGAAACUGCUCAAACUUGAUCAUUUAGAGGAAGUAAAAGUCGUAACA
rnacentral:rRNA from 1 species